rnacentral:rRNA from 1 species
AUUGAACGCUGGCGGCAGGCCUAACACAUGCAAGUCGAGCGGGGUUUUCGGACCUAGCGGCGGACGGGUGAGUAAUGCCUAGGAAUCUGCCUGGUAGUGGGGGAUAACGUCCGGAAACGGACGCUAAUACCGCAUACGUCCUACGGGAGAAAGCAGGGGACCUUCGGGCCUUGCGCUAUCAGAUGAGCCUAGGUCGGAUUAGCUAGUUGGUGAGGUAAUGGCUCACCAAGGCGACGAUCCGUAACUGGUCUGAGAGGAUGAUCAGUCACACUGGAACUGAGACACGGUCCAGACUCCUACGGGAGGCAGCAGUGGGGAAUAUUGGACAAUAGGCGAAAGCCUGAUCCAGCCAUGCCGCGUGUGUGAAGAAGGCCUUCGGGUUGUAAAGCACUUUCAGUAGGGAGGAAGGGUGUUGUGUUAAUAGCACAGCAUUUUGACGUUACCUACAGAAGAAGCACCGGCUAACUCUGUGCCAGCCGCCGCCGUAAUAC